UGUGGGAGCGAGCCUGCUCGCGAUGCCGACACUGCGGUUUUCCUGCUGAAUCGCGCUGGUGUCAUCGCGAGCAGGCUCGCUCCCACA
rnacentral:misc_RNA from 1 species